GACGAACGCUGGCGGCGUGCUUAACACAUGCAAGUCGAACGGAAAGGCCCUGCUUUUGUGGGGUGCUCGAGUGGCGAACGGGUGAGUAACACGUGAGUAACCUGCCCUUGACUUUGGGUUAACUUCAGGAAACUGGGGCUAAUACCGGAUAGGAGCUCCUGCGGCAUGGUGGGGGUUGGAAGGUUUCGGCGGUUGGGGAUGGACUCGCGGCUUAUCAGCUUGUUGGUGGGGUAGUGGCUUACCAAGGCUUUGACGGGUAGCCGGCCUGAGAGGGUGACCGGCCACAUUGGGACUGAGAUACGGCCCAGACUCCUACGGGAGGCAGCAGUGGGGAAUAUUGCACAAUGGGCGGAAGCCUGAUGCAGCAACGCCGCGUGCGGGAUGACGGCCUUCGGGUUGUAAACCGCUUUCGCCUGUGACGAAGCGUGAGUGACGGUAAUGGGUAAAGAAGCACCGGCUAACUACGUG
rnacentral:rRNA from 1 species